GACGAACGCUGGCGGCGUGCUUAACACAUGCAAGUCGAACGGAAAGGCCCUGCUUUUGUGGGGUGCUCGAGUGGCGAACGGGUGAGUAACACGUGAGUAACCUGCCCUUGACUUUGGGAUAACUUCAGGAAACUGGGGCUAAUACCGGAUAGGAGCUCCUGCUGCAUGGUGGGGGUUGGAAAGUUUCGGCGGUUGGGGAUGGACUCGCGGCUUAUCAGCUUGUUGGUGGGGUAGUGGCUUACCAAGGCUUUGACGGGUAGCCGGCCUGAGAGGGUGACCGGCGACAUUGGGACUGAGAUACGGCCCAGACUCCUACGGGAGGCAGCAGUGGGGAAUAUGGCACAAUGGGCGGAAGCCUGAUGAAGCAACGCCGCGUGCGGGAUGACGGCCUUCGGGUUGUAAACCGCUUUCGCAUGUGACGAAGCGUGAGUGACGGUAAUGGGUAAAGAAGCACCGGCUAACUACGUG
rnacentral:rRNA from 1 species